GGGUCCUGCCGGUGACCUCAGCCUUCCCGUAUGUGCAGCUUGGGCAUCUUGGCAGUGCGUGGGUGACUCGGCCACUUAAGAAGUGUCUUUGCAUAUGUAAUUAAGCUAGGAAGGAGAUGAGAUCAUCUUGGAUUACCCAGCUGUGUACUAAAUCCAGUGACAAAUGUCCUUAUAAGAGACAGAAAAAGAAAAGAUACGCCAAGGAAAAGGCAAUGUGAAGAUGGAGGCAGAGACUGGAGUGUUGUGCCCACAAGCCAAGGAAGCUGGCAACUAUCAGAAGCUGGAAGAGGCAAAGAACAGAUUCUCCCCUACAUUCCCUUUAGGACGCUUGGCCCUGCCAACACUUUGAUUUUGGACUUCUGGCCUCCAGACUAAGAGAAUAAAUUUCCGUGUUUUAAGACACUAAA